GUUUAUUUCCCACGAUGGAUUGGUCAAAGCGGUGUUGCCAUCUCCAGAACAAUCCAGGUCCUCUUCCUCGCCAAUCCCCACCGCUGCUCUCUUCCUCCCCAAUUCUCAUCGCUCAAGUUCCAAAAAAAAUCCCAUCGCUGCCACUCGAGUGCUCCACCCGGUGGGGCGGCGUCCCAUCUCCCUCCAUGGCUGCCGUGUCUGUACCGACGUAUCAAGGUUGAACAUCCCCAGGAUGAGCUCCUAUGUGCCUUGGCCCUGCUGUGUCUAGACAGCUGCAGCUCCCCACGACCUCGCCGGUUCGUCCGAUCUAUGCCUGCUCGGCAUGUAGCAACACAACCUUCUUCCCCCACUCCUCGGGCGCCAUCGCCGUCGACGCAUACUGUACCAAGAGUGACACAGGGUGCGCCGGCUUCAUCCUGCUCCUUCGAGCUGGGGAACACCCACAGGUUGAGGUGGCAUGGCUCCGCCAUCACCAUCGUCAGCCAGGUACACUUCGUCGGCCGUCGGUGCACUAUCAUCGGUUCAGAGGAGGAUAGGCGGAGCCUAGGAUCAAGAUGCUUUGUGCGGUGGCCAUUGGUGUUUCUCAGCGGCACCUAGCUAUUGUUAGUCCAGCGCCGCUCUGCCAUCAAGCUGGGUAUCCGAUGAGUGCAGGUCAUCUUUACAGGCCAUCAGGUCAUCUUUACAGGCCAUCAGUGCUGAAGACACACCCUACUAUCCAAUAUUUGAUUACCCCUACAUGGAAGCAGAUGUGAAGCUAACCCAAUUUAAUAACUGUUUUUUCAAUAGGAAUCCAGAUCGUGGCAAAAUUAUAUCCUUUUCUUCCCAAGAUCACUGCAAUUCAGCUCCGUACAUGAUAGCCUGUAUUUUGUGUGCUAAUUAUGUUGUUCCAUUAUAGAUGCCUAAUUCUGCUACCUGACAAACACAGUCAAAAUAGCUCUUAUUUGAUCCACUCUCCUAGCAUCAGAGGAAAAGAUAAUCUUGCAACAUUACUAUAUAUCAAAUGCCAAUAUCAGUAACUGUGCAAAAAUAAAACAGAAAGCAGUAGACAGGAAGUUCUUUUAUAAGGUUAGUAUGCUGUAUUCACAUAUAUCCACUUCAGAAUUUUUGUAUGUUCAGAUCAGAAAAUUAUAUCUUCUCCAUGAAAUAAAGAUUUAUCUUUGACAGAUAUUACAGGGAAACACAAUGAAGGAAUAUGUCCCAACCAAGAGCUUUCACCAACAAAGAGAACAACUGAAGGAAAGAACAACCUAUACAUUUGGGGAUGUUCACUUUUUCUCACAUGUUCUCACUUCUCUGCUUUGCUUUGAAGACAAAUAUUAGUACUAGCAUUCUUUUUCCAAGUAUUUUUGGUAAUUUUAUUGCGCAUUAUGAGUCAUCCUUUUUUGUUACUUUGUCGGACAUGCCUUAUGAUAUUAAUGUGAGCUUCUGUUAUGUCCACAUAGUUGCACAUGACUUGCCAUUUGAUCAGUGUGUUGGAUACUUCAGUUCAUACUAAGGGAGCUUAUUGCGUGUUCAGCGACAGCCGACUGUACCUAAUCCUAUCAUGAAAAAGAUGUUGGAAGAAAACUUAGCUCUGUGGCGAUAGAUACAAUAGAGUCCUAGCCGUCGGUUCCCAAAUGUGGCAGCAAAUCCAAGGUAUUUUUAAAAAAAAAUGCAUAGAAGGAUUGGUAUCUGAUGCUCAGUGCAUAAAUUCCUUCUAUUACAAUGCAGACUGUGUUAUCUUCAAAGCUUUGAGAGAAGAAAAUACUCUGUUCAGAUUCUCAGAUUUUAGUUGUCGUACCGACCUAUUCAUGUGCUCAUGGUUUUUUAUGUUAUUUAGAAAAAAUGAAUCCAUCUAAAUGCUACUGUGGUAAGUUCCUGCACAUUAUUCAGUCUCAAAAUUUCCAUUGAUAUAUCCAUUAUAGGGGCUAAUCAUCUGGAAUCUUUUGCAGAAAUAAGACUAUGUUUAUGCAGCCUAUCCAACCUUCUAUCCACUACCGCCUGCAGUCAAGAUUCUCAGAUUUUAGUUGUCUGUACUAUAUCGACCUAUCCAUGUGCUCAUGUUUUUUUAUGCUAUUUAGAAAAAAUGAAUCCAUCUAAAUGCUACUGUGGUAAGUUCCUGCACAUUAUUCAGUCUCAAAAUUUCCAUUGAUAUAUCCAUUAUAGGGGCUAAUCAUCUGGAAUCUUUUGCAGGAACAAGACCAUGUUUAUGCAGCCUAUCCAACCUUCUAUCCACUACCGCCUGCAGUUAUUCAGUACUAAAACUACUCACGGAAUGCCUCCAAUUUGUCACGGCAUGUCUACUUGGAGUCACAAUGUGAUCAGUUCCUACUUGCAAGCACAAUGUGAUAAGUUUAGACAAUGCCUAGAAUGUGUUACAUGCAUUUCUUAUUAGUGAUGCACAUCAAGUCAAGGCAUAAUUGGAGUCCCAAAUCUUGCAUCUCACGUUGUUGUUAAAAAAUGUGACCAAUUAGUCUACUAAUUAAUACAAAACAUCUAUAGAUUGCCUGGUUUAAGUUCUGUCACUUUACUCAGCAUCUGUAUAAUGGCAUCUUUUCUUGCCUCUCCGGUAUUUUGUUUAUAUAUUGAUCUGGUGGGAAUUAUUUGCCUUACGGAGAAAAGCACUGAAAAGCGGUACGACCAGAGGCAGUAUAAUUCCUAUCCGAUGAACAUAAUCUGAACCUUUUUUGUACAUGAAUCUGAACUAAUUUUUGCUUGAGGACUUGUGCUUGCUGUCC